rnacentral:tRNA from 1 species
UUGGGAUAUAGCCAAGUGGUAAGGCAGCCGGUUUUGGUCCUGCUAUUCGGAGGUUCGAAUCCUUCUGUCCCAGACC